CGAGAAGGAUCACAAGAGGGAGCUGUAAUGAAAGCAAAGGAGAUUGUAUUUGAACUGCGGUAAGUUAUACUGUUUCCUUUCAAAGGUCAGUUGUUCACCUUCCUUAAAAGGGUUACAUGAAAAGAAGAUAAACAAUACACAGGAAGGGGAGCUGCAAUUUAGUAUCUGCUUCUUACAAAGUGGGGAAUUGUAGCUCUGAGUCCCUCUUCCCUGUUCUCUGUUAUGCACAAAUAAAAAUAUCAUUGAGCAGCAGCAGGAAAACUGGAGUUCCAUUUAUAAAAAAGUUUCACAAAGAUAACAGCAACAAAAUCAACAUUGGAGACAAUGAAUGUGUGUGCUUUAUUAAUGAAAUGGAACAUUUAUAAAAAAUUCAGUUAAAAAUAGACAAUUCACAAACAAAAAGUGUUUAGUUAAAGAUCACUCUGGUCAAUAAAUCAUAAAAAUUAGGAAACACAAAGUUAAGGAUUAAAAAGGCCUAAAAGGUUGCAAAAUCAAGGACUCAUAAGUUAGGAAAUGCCAGAAUGAAUAUUGCCAACCCCCCGCCCAGUCCCGGAGCGCCGUGUGGGCAGGUGGCAAGUGCCCCCCGCUGCCCCAGAGCGCCAGGGGUGGGCACCCCCCUGACCCAGAGCACUGGGUGAGCAGGUGGUGUGUGGACUCUCCCCCAGCCCUGGAGCAUUGGGUGGCACAGCCCCAGCAGGCUUCCCGGAAGAGGAGCAGCCUGCAUUGGCUGGGGCCAAGCUGCAAGCAGGUGGGGGACCUGGGUGUAGAGCAUGGGCAGGGCCAAACAGGGCUGUUUGGGGAGGCCCAGCCUUUCCCUGCCUAUGCCACCUGCCACGGCACUGUUCUACUCUACUCAUCUAAGACAUGCCUCACCGCCUACACUGCUGUUUAUAUCCAUGGUAAGUGGGCAUGCAGGGUGUGUAGUCUACACACUGCGAAAAGUUGUAGAUGUAGCCUGAGUAACUAUAUUUACCCUAUGCAGUUUAUUGUUAGAGUUAUCUGUACUCACUUAAGUCCAGAAAAUGAUUGUAGUGGCUGAACCUGAAGCCCGUAACCACUGAUAAAUGGGAACCAUUCUGCUCAAUACUUGUACAGUGUAGCACUGAAGUUCUAAAAUAUGCCCUGCAGAUCCCCAAAGGUGCUAUAGUCAGCAUGCUGCCCUCUGACACAAAGAGGGUGUGUGUGUGUGGAGAGAGAGAGUGAGAUGGUGUAAUUAAGUGGCUUGAGAAGGAGGCUAGUAUCUGUCAACUCCUGACAUCACCUGCCUCUGCUAUUGACUUGCUGUGUGUCCUUGGGCAAAUCACUUACAUUCUUUUUUUAGUUUUGACACCUUUCAAAUUGUCUGAGGUUCUGGGUGCUAUAUAAAAAAGUAAGCUAGUGGCAAGGCCCCAUGUACUAUGUGGCAAGCUUCACCUCACCUCUCCUGCAAAGCCCCCUGAAUUCUGCAACAUUUUAGUGCAGCAGACAAGGGAUUUAUCUGCUGGUUUAAGUAAACUAAAAAAAUGGAAGUAUUUAUUGGAUUAAAUAUAAAAGCAAAUAAUACAAUUGGUAUAGUAUUUCCUGUGUUAUUUGGUUUUGGUCAGAGUCUGUCAAUCCUUAGUCAUGUUAAGUAAUACCUUACUAAAAAUAGGAAUAAUUAGUAAGUGUGGUGGGGCUUAACCCUCAUCACCUGCAAGGCAAGGGAAAGAACUGUAGUUAUUAAUUGUGCUCUGCACUUGGAGAGUGAGGAACUAAUUGCCUCCUGGCCAGAGGAGGUGGAGCUAAGUCUUAUAAUUAGUCUCAGAGAGCCCACUUUUGUGGAGGGAAGUCCUGGGAUAGGGGUUAAUCAAACAAGUAACAGAAAGAUUGGUACAAGAGUAGUAGGGGAGGUCCUGAGAUAGAGCCAUCAAGGGACCUGUCUGAGAGGGGCUGAAGGGCUAGCAGAUUGAAGAUUUGAUGGGACUUUAUUGGAAUUACUAGAUUACUCCAAAAGGGUAAUUUAAGAUUUUUUAAUUUAACCUGGCUGGAGGGCUAAACCACAGAGCACUCAGAGAGGCAGUUGAAAGAGGAUAUGGGUCUGAGGGAGACCCCAAUAAGGGGUACCAAAGAUGAAGUCUCCAUGACUAGGCACAAUAGAGUGCCCUAGAGGAUGCUUAUGCUUCUUGUGAAAGCCAAUUACAGACAGAUGACAAAACACUACAGUCUCUGUGGCUGAGAUAUCUAGAAGCCUCAGAAAUAGGAUGUGAAUCUGUAAGCUUUGUUCCUUGGAAGGAACUGUGUUCCGCAACGCACUUUGGUCAGCACUUGAUUGCACAACAGAAGACAAAGGAAGAAUGAGAUAAGAAAUUUUAUGCCAGAGUGUCACUAAUGACAGAGAACACAGAGGGCGCUCUGCUCCAAUGUCCAUGUGGUGUAAAUCCAAGCUGGAGUUAAUCAGAUGACAUUUCUCAUACUAACAAAGUGACACUACAGCUGCUUUUGGGAUGAUGAAUGCUGAUGUCACAAACGGGCUAGUACAACAUCACUGAAUGAAUCAGGCAGAAAGAGAAAUCAGAUUUGAAAACAGAGACCUUCUGUUUCCACACAAAUACUUUGAAGGAAACGGACCAUGAAAAGUACAGAAAAGUAAAUGGAUUGACACUUGGUAAGUUUCCAAAUACUGCACAGAAGUGCAGUAUUACUUUUAAAUGCAAGUGGUAAAAGUGAUGGUGGAUUAUGAAAAUGAGGCUUUUUGUGGUUUCUCUUAAGUAUUGUACUAGCUGAUCCUGCAAGCUGUUAAAUCCACAACUACCUAACAGUUCUGCUAAGAACUAUAAACUGGACUUUUCUUUUUAUUGACUAAGAAGUUUGUUUGUCUGUCUGUAAGAGAGAAAUACAGAAUCUUGUGGAUCUUUGCUGCUGUUGAUAGCAGAAGCUUGGUUAAAUCUUAACUCUAUAAAAGUAGUUGAUGAGGUUAACUCCAUGACAUGCCACUGGUACUAAAUAGAUGUGGUUACCGCAAACACACUUGUGGAUGAGAAGUUAAACUUUUGGUGGGAGACAUCACAGUAUGUCAUAUUUGAGAUAACUGAAUACAUUAACGCAAGACCUUCUUUAAACAUGGAAGUCACACCAAUUUAACAGUAUUAUUUUAAACCAAUUUAGGUAAAUCCAAGCAACUUUGUGUGUGUAUGUGUGUGUGUGUGUGUGUGUGUGUGUGUACUCUUAUUAGCUUACAUCUGAAUAUUGGUGUGUGGGUGUGUGAGAGAAAUGUGCUGUAAAUAUAGAUGGUGGUAUAUUCACAAACAUGAUUUCAGUAAGAAUGUUCAAGUACAGAUAACAAUAUGUUGUCUUCAAAAUAUUAAUAAAAUAUAAUUAAAAGAUACCCUCCACUUAAGCCCCUAAAUACAAGAAACUCAGAAUAUGUACAUUUGAAUUAGGGAUGGUCAAAAUUGGCAAAAUAUUUUUUUAGAGUGGGGUGGGGAGUGAAAUUUCACACAGUGUUCACACACAAUUCAUUUAGCAUGGUCCUCAGAGUCUCAAAAUUAUGAAAAAGUUUCUUAUACAUGCAGAUGCCAUGAAAGUGAGGCAUGCUAUUUUCCUGUGAAUACUUCAUUACCUUAUAUUUUACUCUGGUCUGACAGACAGCGCUCUCUGUAAAGUGACACGUAUUGCAAAAUAUGAGGAGUGUGGGCUAGCAUUCCUGGGGGGGAAGAGUCAAGCUUGUGGUGAGUGGUGGUCAGUAGCUGAGGUAAGGUGCACGCCUGUAAGUGAAGUAGUAGAGGAUAUGGACUGUUAGCUUAACUUUCUUUUCCUUGCUUUUUUGGUUGUCAGUUAUGUCAGGUGUGUGGCAACCUGAGCCAUUUCACAAUGAAGUUUUUUUUUUCUUGUGCAUGAGUAGCUAUAUUUUCUGCUUCAGUGGGGCUACCAGAGUACUACUUGGCUCAUAAAGUUACCUUGAUGGUGUUUCACAUGAAUGAAAAAGACUAUAUCAUGCAUGCUCUCACUUGCCAUUCAGUUUUCUGACAGUAUAACACCAGGGUGGGGCAUUUCAGGAAGACUCAUCAUACAUUUUAUCUGAAGGGCAUUCGUUCUACAGCUCACACCUUUCAUUAGCAAAGCAGACGUUCCCUUUAUAUAACAUGUAACUUGGAAAGUCCUCCCCACCCUCUUCUUUUCUAUUUGAAAUAAAGGACCUGAUUCUUCACUCUGUUACAUGCUUUGCACCAGUAUAAUUCCAUUGACUGCACUGUUAAACCAGUGUAACCGGGAGGGUGAUCAGACCUGAAGAUUUAUUGGUGGUUUUGUUCAUUAAUUUAUUUUUUUAAAUGGCAUCUGUUUUAAUUUUGAAAAUAAAAAGUCAUUGUGGUGGAAGAUGGUUAUUUUACACUCUUUGAAUAUUAUGUAAACAAUUGUGGAUUUAUCAGUACUUUUCUGGUUUUAAAAAAAUAGUUGGAUAUUCGAAAAGAAGGGAGAUUAAUGCUGAAGUUAAAGACUAUAUUCAUUCCUGUCUCUUACUCCCUGUCUGUCCAGAGACUGCUAGAUGACCUGACCACACGUAUAGAGGUAGAUACAAUGGAAAAAUCUGUCAGGCAAUUUGAGUGAACUGCACAAAGGCAAAUAUAUGACCUAGCUGGAUAUAUUCUUUCAUUCAACUAGCUAAUCACACAGCUGAUUCCAAACCAGGCAUCUCUACAGAGAACAGUAAACAAGAACAAUAAAUUAAAAACACGUCUAAUAACUACUAUAUGAGUUCUGUAAGCCUAUGGUAUUGUCCUUACCCAAGAGCCAGCUGGAACAAAAGGCUUAAUUUCUAAGAUUAUAUAUAAAUAAGAAUUUUGUUCGAAAAAGAUGUUGACAAGAAAACAAUCCAGGCGAAAUGAUGGGGGAGAGAUUUGGGGAGAAAAAGGAUCUGAACGAGUGGGUCUGGUUAUGGGAAGGGGGAAGUUCAUCAUCAAUAUGUGUAGGUCAUAAUUUUUUUUUGUUAAUUUAUUGUGCAGAUUGCAUUUGACUCCAGUUAAGAUCCAUCAUAUAUUUGUUACUAGGGAGGUGCUCUAUUAGUGGGGUUGAGAGGAGAGGGGAACAUACUUGCACAUGUGGUGGUAGUGUCCAAGAAUUGGAUGGUUUUAGGAGGAAAGUGUUAAAGAAAUUCAUCAUAUUACAAAAUGCCAGAUGUCUAGAGAUCUUCUGAUCUGCUUAUUCAAUGCUCCAGUAAAAGAUCUAUGUUUUAAACAGAAUGACUAAUUUAUUUUUUAUUGUUAGCAGCUAGACUCUUUAUUACACAUUACUGGGGAAAAUGUCACUUCUGCCUAUGAAAUAGUAAUAAAAUAUGGAAUGUUCUUGGUGAUAUAGUAAAAUCUGGAAUGUUCUUGUAACUGAAAAGUUUUCAUACCAAUUCUGUACACAAGAAAAGCACUAAAAAGACAAUAGAUAUUUAGGAGUUUGGCCACCCUUUUGAGUGUCCUCAGAGGAAGAGGGCUCCUCAGCCAGCAAGCCAGAAUCUUUAGCCAGGUUCUUUGUAUAUUAAACUGAUCCUGAAUAAAUAAUGUACAUUGUAGUAUGUUAACAUUUAACAUAACAUUGCCUUAAUAAA